UACGGAGGAUGCGAGCGUUAUCCGGAUUUAUUGGGUUUAAAGGGUGCGUAGGCGGAUUUGUAAGUCAGCGGUAAAAAUGCGGUGCUCAACCCCGACAAGCCGUUGAAACUGGCUUGCUAGAGUGGGCGAGAAGUAUGCGGAAUGCGUGGUGUAGCGGUGAAAUGCAUAGAUAUCACGCAGAACUCCGAUUGCGAAGGCAGCAUACCGGUGCACAACUGACGCUCAGGCACGAAAGCGUGGGUAUCGAACAGG
rnacentral:rRNA from 1 species